rnacentral:rRNA from 1 species
UACGGAGGGUGCAAGCGUUAUCCGGAUUCACUGGGUUUAAAGGGUGCGUAGGAGGGCAGGUAAGUCCGUGGUGAAAUCUCUGAGCUUAACUCAGAAACUGCCGUGGAUACUACCGGUCUUGAAUAUCGUGGAGGUGAGCGGAAUAUGUCAUGUAGCGGUGAAAUGCUUAGAUAUGACAUAGAACACCAAUUGCGAAGGCAGCUCACUACCCGAAUAUUGACUCUGAGGCACGAAAGCGUGGGAUCAAACAGG